GAGGAUGUAGCUCAGUGGUAGAGCACUUGCCUGACAUACACAAGGCCUUGGGUUCAAUCCCCAAUACCACA
rnacentral:tRNA from 1 species